UUUGCAACAGAUGGAAGCACACUGGUUGGAGAAACACUGCCCUUUAGGUUUCAAUUGUUUCCCCAUGCAAUGGAUGACAUCUGUAACACUUUAUAAAAGAUUGGUGUCCAAAAUCCCUGCAGAAAUUUUUCACGUCGUCGUCAGCCAUAGGCUGUCCAGGCUCCUUUUGUGCCCUUCCACCUCCUAAACUUUCAUUAAAGGGGUACUCCGGCCCUAUGCAUCUUAUCCCCUACCCAAAGGAUUGGAGAUAAGGAAGGGAAUUCAUCAAGCUUUUUAGAUCAUCCUCACCUGUAUAGUUAGUGAAGUGACCUGUAUAGUUGACUUGCAUUCUGCUACUGCUCAUUAAAAUCCCUUUGCCUGUGUUUGCCAAGACAAGGAUUUUCUCAUCUUUCCAACUUCUCUGCAUAUAACACAAAGUUGACCACAGGAAUCAAGCUGAAGUCGUGAUGCAGAUGGCUGGCAAAGCAACAGAGAUCCCUUGGGUACUGCUCCAUCCACAGCACUGUCUACACUAGAGGAAUGCUAACAAGACAGUGUGAGAAAUACUACAGUAUGAAUUUUUGGAAAAAGCCUUCAAUAGGAAUAAACUAUAUUACCAGAAGAUCAUUUUUGUUUCCUUUCAGGCUGAAAUAAACUAGGUAAUAUGUGUGCAAUAAGAUUAUAGGAACAACCUACAAAUUAUCAGGCUAUUAUGAAGCAAAUCUAAACACAGCUAUAAUUUACAGAAUUAAUGGAUAUAAAUUUUAGCAUCAUUUGUGUAAUACAGCUGCAUUGUUUGCUACCAAGUCACUACAGCUGUAGAUGUAACAAUUCAGAUACUCUAAUUCUCUUAAUAUUUAAAUAAUGUAUUA